rnacentral:rRNA from 1 species
AUUGAACGCUGGCGGCAUGCCUUACACAUGCAAGUCGAACGGCAGCACGGGAGCAAUCCUGGUGGCGAGUGGCGAACGGGUGAGUAAAGUAUCGGAACGUGCCCAGUCGUGGGGGAUAACGUAGCGAAAGUUACGCUAAUACCGCAUACGAUCUAUGGAUGAAAGCGGGGGAUCGCAAGACCUCGCGCGAUUGGAGCGGCCGAUAUCAGAUUAGGUAGUUGGUGGGGUAAAGGCUCACCAAGCCGACGAUCUGUAGCUGGUCUGAGAGGACGACAAGCCACACUGGGCCUGAGACACGGCCCAGACUCCUACGGGGUGCAGCAGUGGGGAAUUUUGGACAAUGGGCGCAAGCCUGAUCCAGCCAUGCCGCGUGCAGGAUGAAGGCCUUCGGGUUGUAAACUGCUUCUGUACGGAACGAAAAGGUUUGACUUAAUACGUUGGACUCAUGACGGUACCGUAAGAAUAAGCACCGGCUAACUACGUGCCAGCAGCCGCCGUAA